GUUCCUAGUCGGAUUCGUUAACCACUGCGCCACGACGGGAACUCCUCAAGUGAUCCUUCUAAAAUAAAAACCUGCUUAAAUACCUCAAGAAACACACUUUUUCUUUUAGGCAAAAGUUUUCACACAAGACUCCUUUUUUUCUUAUUCUCCAGUCACACAGCACAUACUUCCUAUUUCCUGAAUGUGCCACUUUUUCCCUGGCUCCUGUGACUUAUUGGCUUCUUUUCUUUUUGAUUUCUUCAGGCUAAGCUACAUGGUUCUUCUCCUGAUUGCUUUUAGAAGAGCAUGAAUCAUCCUGGAUGGUUGCCUAUCUGUCCCCUCCACUCCACUGAACUUGGAGGCAGCUGUGUCUAGUUUGAGCUCCUGCUGGCUGAGACUACCAGCUUAAAUCUGGGCUUCUGCAAGUGACCAGUAAAAGACCUUUUGACAUCAGAGGGCCAAAACCUCUACCCUCCGAUCAUGCCAAGUGCCUCAAUUUUUUGAACAUGCAUCCCAUGAAGAAGCAUGUUUUUGUGCAGAACUUGAUUUCGUCACCGUUUCCCUUCCUCCAAUCACCUUUCCUCACUCCUAAAACCACCCUGUUUCUUUUGCCCUUAAAGGUCCCCCGCACCUCCCCUUUGGGAGGCCGAAAUGAGAUUUGUUCUUCCAUCUUCUUGCUCUGCUGUCUUGUGAAUGAACCCUUUCUCUGUUGCACACCUUGGUGCCUCAACAUCUGACUUGCUGAGCUGCCCACAAAUGAACCUGACCUGGUUUGGUAACAUCAGGAA